AUACGUAGGGGGCGAGCGUUGUCCGGAAUUACUGGGCGUAAAGCGCGCGCAGGCGGCUUGUUAAGUCAGGUGUCAAAAUGCGGGGCUCAACCCCGUAUCGCACUUGAAACUGGCAGGCUUGAGUGCAGGAGAGGGAAGUGGAAUUCCUAGUGUAGCGGUGAAAUGCGUAGAUAUUAGGAGGAACACCAGUGGCGAAGGCGACUUCCUGGACUGUAACUGACGCUCAGGCGCGAAAGCUAGGGGAGCAAACAGGAUUGGAUACCCUGGUAGUCCUAGCCGUAAACGGUAGGGACUAGGUGUUGGGGGUGACAAUCCCCCAGUGCCGCAGUUAACGCAUUAAGUACCCCGCCUGGGGACUACGGCCGCAAGGCUGAA
rnacentral:rRNA from 1 species